UCGUAGCAACUCCCUCGCUGCCAGGAGAUUUGUUUUCAAAGUGUCUGACAAGCCACGUCCGAUUCAUCCUCAAAACUGACUUGUCAGGGGAAUAAACAAGUGUCAGAACUUCCCACGAAAUCUAGUGAUGAAAAGGCCUUUAACGAUGAACAAAGUAAAUUCAGUUCUCACGCCAAGCAACAGAAAGAAAGCGAAGUGAAAAGCCACAGAAGACUAGCACAGCAACAAGUCGACCAUCAUUUCUGCCAUUGAAGGAGAAUGUUACCUGAGACCACCCUUGGUCACAACUCUAAGAUAUCCCUCGGUCUCCCUGAGGUGCGCUGUGCAGAGAUUGGACAUCACAAGCUUCUCCCACAGCAGGUCUAAAGGAUGAAGGUACAAGCAGCUGAGUAUACAACCCAUGGACCAGUGCCGAGUGAAGUCACUACCUUGGGGGCCCAGGACUGUCAUCACUGUCCUUGCAAGUCCACGCUUCUGGACUCUUGUGUGGACACUGUGCACCUGCAGCAUCUGGCUGACGGCUCAGUAGACUACAACAGACUGGAUUCAAAUCCAGCUUGGCUGUGGGGCUGGACUUCUCUGAAACUCAGUGUCCUUGACUGUGAAAUGGGAGAGGAUAUAACCACUUCAAUGCAGCAGAUAGCAAAUUUUGAUGUGUACACAAAUCACCUGGAGAUCUUGUUAUGAUGCGGAUUCAGACUCAGUAAGUCUGGGACGAGGCCUGACGUCCUGUAUUUCUAAGAAGCUACCAGGUGAUACCCAUGCUGCUGUCUGGGAACCAAACUCCAAGCUGCAACACUGUAGGGCAUUCCAUGAGAUAACAAGAGAAAUCAAGGGAGAUCAUUAUUUAUGUUAAUAAGCAUUACAAGGAAAUUUAUUAAUAAUAGUUAUAGGUAGGAGAAUUCUGGUUAAAACACAUGAAGUUACCACCAACCAGGUUUAAAUUAGACUGUUUCUGCCCCUUCAUCCUUUUAUGGCAAGUUUUGUGAUUACAUGUGAAACCUCCUUCAAGACCCUCCUCAUAAGCCCUCAUGUAACUACAGAAGUCAAGGGCACAGUGAGAAGAUAUUUUAUUACCCAUGUAUUUAUGUAUGGGUUUUUGGGGUUUUAAAACUGGCAAUUAAAACCUUGUAAAUUUGUAUUAUCAACAAAAUAAAUGUAGACGGGUUAGUUACUCAUUGCUAAUAAAUUUGAUCAUUCAUUUAUAAAACGAA